rnacentral:rRNA from 1 species
GAUCCUGGCUCAGGAUGAACGCUGGCGGCGUGCUUAACACAUGCAAGUCGAGCGAAGCACUUUGCUUUGAUUUUCUUCGGGAUGAAGAGCUUAGUGACUGAGCGGCGGACGGGUGAGUAACGCGUGGGUAACCUGCCUCAUACAGGGGGAUAACAGUUAGAAUGACUGCUAAUACCGCAUAAGGCCACAGCACCGCAUGGUGCGAGGGGUAAAAACUCCGGUGGU